rnacentral:rRNA from 1 species
AGCAGUCGCCGCGGUAAUACGUAGGUGGCAAGCGUUGUCCGGAAUUAUUGGGCGUAAAGGGCUCGCAGGCGGUUUCUUAAGUUUGAUGUGAAAGCCCCCGGCUCAACCGGGGAGGGUCAUUGGAAACUGGGAAACUUGAGUGCAGGAGAGGAGAGUGGAAUUCCACGUGUAGCGGUGAAAUGCGUAGAGAUGUGGAGGAACACCAGUGGCGAGGGCGACUCUCUGGUCUGUAACUGACGCUGAGGAGCGAAAGCGUGGGGAGCGAACAGGAUUAGAUACCCCGGUAGUCCCUGUCUCUUAUAC